rnacentral:lncRNA from 1 species
GUUAAACACCAACCAGAGAGAGAGACAGAUUAAACACCAACCAGAGAGAGAGAGACAGAUUAAACACCAACCAGAGAGAGAGAGAGACAGGUUAAACACCAACCAGAGAGAGAGAGACAGAUUAAACACCAACCAGAGAGAGAGACAGAUUAAACACCAACCAGAGAGACAGGUUAAACACCAACCAGAGAGAGAGAGAGACAGAUUAAACACCAACCAGAGAGAGAGAGACAGAUUAAACACCAGAGAGAGAGAGAGACAGGUUAAACACCAACCAGAGAGAGAGAGACAGGUUAAACACCAGAGAGAGAGAGAGACAGGUUAAACACCAACCAGAGAGAGAGACAGGUUAAACACCAACCAGAGAGAGAGAGACAGGUUAAACACCAACCAGAGAGAGAGAGACAGAUUAAACACCAACCAGAGAGAGAGAGACAGAUUAAACACCAACCAGAGAGAGAGAGACA